AGGUUUUUGACCAGACUUCUUGACAUCUCCAUUUUGCAUAUGUUGAUAUUAUUUAUAGUGUUUGAUGUCAAAUCAAAAGAGAUUACCGGGAAGUGCCCAACAGCGUAAAAGGCGGAGACUCCCAUUCCGGGUCGGUCGGGGGAAUUGUGCAGAUAGAUGCGUUCAGACUCCUCUUUUUCCUGAUCUGCCAGCCCGGUAAAACCGGUAACAUCACCUCUUAACAUCACCUCUCCACGCUUGCCAGCGAAGCAACCAACCUUGUCGGUUUCUCAGACAAAACCCUUCUUUCAAUUUGCUGUAUCCCUCAAUCCUUUUCACUAAGGACUCAAACAAUCUCAUCCCGAGGCAAGAGCGAAAGAUGCAAGAUUUCCUUAUAUUAUGGGUUUGCACAAUGUUCGAGCACAGAUGGAUCUGAUGAUGAGAUGAGAUAGAUAUUUUUUCUAAUUAAUCCAGAGCUCAGAGGGCGAAGAAAAAGAACAAUUCAAUUUGGAGGAAGAACUGAUGAAGCAGCAGGCCAAGCCAAAACCCAUUGCAGGAUCGUGGAGAGAAAUCCUAUGUUUGAGCUGGGUCAUCAUAAGUUUCCAUGUGAGGGUUAUUAUCAUGCGCCCCCUUGCUCUAGCGCUACUCAUUUCUUUUGCCACAUUCAUUGCAGGCGUGCCAAACACAAUGAUCUCGGGGGUUUAUACGAAACAGUCUUCUCUGAGUAUUAUGGAUUAUUGCUUGCAGGCCAAUGGGCUGUUCCCAACUUGAGGUUUUGAAAAAUCUUUGUGCUUAGGAAAUAAGAAUUCCUUGACGUUUGAAACCCUAGAUUAUGAUUUGGCUUUCUCAGUUAUGUUUUCGUUUUUCUACAACGCCUUCAACACUUUCAAAUUAGCUUUGUAAUCUCCCUGAGAGAGGUUGCAGAGCGGGGAAUCAAGUGCCGAUGGUCCGACAGUUAGUUUAGAAGUAGUUUUAUUAGAGAUUUUGAUGUAAGAGAUGCAUUCAAGGUUGCACAUUGCUCUAGAUUGGACCCACCAAAGUUUAUCAUGGCGGAUUCUGUGGAAUUUAUCACUUGGGCAAGGUAGUUCAUUGUCAUCUACUUUGAUUUAUGUAGGUUUGAGCUACUAUAUUUAGCAUUGUUGUAGUGAAUGCAUCACUCACAUAAUGUCUCGUCUGUAAUAUUUAGAAAAAAAUCAUUUAUCAGAUUGUUGCUUUGCUAA